AGCCACCGUAACUGGGAGUUGGGCCUUAUGGAGAGACUGGGAAAGUCAGGCUUCUGGGGGGUGCCUGGGAAUUCCUGAGAUAAGGCUUGCAUUGAAUCUAGAUGACUUUUGGUAACAUUGAAAUUUUAAUAAUAUUAAUUCUUUCGGUCCAUGGACAUGGGAUAGCUUUGCAUUUAUUUGUAUUUUCUUAGCUUUCUUACAUCAAAGUCUUACAGUUUUCAGAGCAGAUAGCUUUCAUCUUUUUGGUCAAAUUUGUUCCCAGUAUUUAAUUGUUUUUGAUGUUAUUGUAAAUGCGAUUGAUUUCUUUUUCAGAAGAUUCACUGUUGGUAAAUACAAUCUUUAAGACUCUGUCUCUUUCCUUCAGGAGUAACCUUCCAGAACAAACGAGGAGUAAGCCUGCCUCUCCAGGGAUGACCACAGCACCCCUCACCCUGGAACAAGAGGCUAAGGCAGCAAGUCGAUACUGGACUAACUAUGUGGAUUGAGAAAGCGAAUGUAGUGUCUCACCUGCAUGAAAAGAAUGAAGAAAUGUUGAAACUCCCCCCAAAAUAAUUAAAUGGCAGAUUUCUUUUUCUUCAAAUUUAUGACAAGAAAAUAUGGUAUUAUCUAGUAAAUAAUAAUAUAAACCCAGAAAUAUGAAUAAAAAUCAGUAGAAAUAAGAAUCA
rnacentral:lncRNA from 1 species